UUUGCGUGAACAUAGACACAUUUAUGUAGAUCGGGGGCACAUUCCCUUAAAAAACAAAUGUAAAACACUUCAAGCAAAUGUCUUCAGCGGCUCAGAUGUCAGGAGUAAAUGAUACAUUUUCAGUGAUUAAAAGCUCACUGGAGGGGAAGGUUUCAGUGAAUAACAGCUUAAAUUGCAUUUUGUCACUCAAAGCUAAGACUUAUGAAGAUAUAAUAUAAUGCAUGACUCCAGUCCCCUUUCAUUAUAAUUAUAAAAAAAGGAGUAAAUGGUACUCUAUUAAAAAGAAAAAAUGAAUACCAAAACAUGAAUUUAGACAUGAGUAAAUUUUCAUUUCUGGCUGAAAUAUUCCUUUUAAUCUUCAGCACAUAUGUCUUUAAAAUCCUAAUUAUUAGAUUAAUUUGUUCCAGUCUUAAUUUGCUUCUGUCAAAAUAUUGUACAAAGUACACCCCUUCUGAGUCUUUCCAUUUGAGGGGGCAUAAACAUCGAGACAUUCAGGGAUAGACUGAUGACAGUGAGUUGGCCAGUAGAAAGGCUUUUUGCGGUCACUUGUUCUCACUGGAGCUUGUUAUGAUAGAACAGCUUGGCAGUUUGUGCCAUCUGAAAUUCCUCUGCGUGUGAAUAAAAGUAGGUGUUGACGAGUGGGCCCGUAAUAUAUAAAAAUGUACCAUCACACUACAACGGACGAGAAAGAAGUGGAAGCCCAUUCUUUUGGAAAAGUUUGUACAGUUAGUGAUAAAGAUAGAGUCACUGAUGAGCUGUCUUUGCAAAACAACUAUAAACUAUAAACACAGAGACACAAAAUACAUCUGUUUAAGAAAAUGUUGCCUCAAAAGAACUAUACAUUUUCAUGAAAACAAGUAGUUUUGUUAAUACGGUUAAUACUGUUUGCUGCUGAUAAAUUGACUUUUUAUCAUUUUUUAAAUGAAUACACGUAAAUGCACAAAAAUAAUCACUAAUUAAUUAUUUAAAGGGAUCGUUCAUCUGAAAAUUAAAAUUCUGUUAUGCUCACUCUUGUAUUUCCAAACCUGUAUGACUUUGUUUAUUCUGUAGAACACAAAAGAAGAGCUGUUGUCCUUAUAAUGAAAGUCAUAGGGUCAACAGAGCACUGGACCCCAUUGACCUUAACUAUAUGGUCAAAACUUUUUAAAAUUGUUAAAUAUAAAUAUAAAUUCUGUGUUCCACAGAAGAAAGAUAUCUUGAGGUCAACCAUCCCUAUUAUAUUUGGAUCUGUGUCCUGACCCCUUAAAGUGACAGUUCACCCAAAAA